UUUUUAUAUUAAAGGUUACGGUACAAGAUGAGUAUGCGUCCUAUUAGCUAGUUGGUAUGGUAACGGCAUACCAAGGCAACGAUAGGUAGGGGCCCUGAGAGGGGGAUCCCCCACACUGGUACUGAGACACGGACCAGACUCCUACGGGAGGCAGCAGUGAGGAAUAUUGGACAAUGGGGGGAACCCUGAUCCAGCCAUGCCGCGUGCAGGAAGACUGCCCUAUGGUUGUAAACUGCUUUUGUACGGGAAGAAACCGCUCUACGCGUAGAGCCUUGACGGUACCGUAAGAAUAAGCAUCGGCUAACUCCGUGCCAGCAGCCGCGGUAAUACGGAGGAUGCAAGCGUUAUCCGGAAUCAUUGGGUUUAAAGGGUCCGUAGUGGGCCGGUCAGUCAGAGGUGAAAUCCUGCAGCUCAACUGUAGAACUGCCUUUGAUACUGCCGGUCUUGAAUCGUUGUGAAGUGGUUAGAAUAUGUAGUGUAGCGGUGAAAUGCAUAGAUAUUACAUAGAAUACCGAUUGCGAAGCAGAUCACUAACAGCGUAUUGACACUGAUGGACGAAAGCGUAGGUAGCGAACGGGAUUAGAUACCCCGGUAGUCUACGCCGUAAACGAUGGAUACUAGCUGUCCGGCUUCGGCUGGGUGGCUAAGCGAAAGUGAUAAGUAUCCCACCUGGGGAGUACGUUCGCAAGAAUGAAACUCAAAGGAAUUGACGGGGGCCCGCACAAGCGUGGAGCAUGUGGUUUAAUUCGAUGAUACGCGAGGAACCUUACCAGGGCUUAAAUGUAGACUGACAGCUUUAGAGAUAGAGUUUUCUUCGGACAGUUUACAAGG
rnacentral:rRNA from 1 species